UUUUGAGAGUUUGAUCCUGGCUCAGGAUUAACGCUAGCGGGAUGCCUAAUACAUGCAAGUCGAACGAAGUAUUUAUACUUAGUGGCGAACGGGUGAGUAACACGUAUCCAACAUACCCAUAAGAGGGGGAUAACUAGUUGAAAAACUAGCUAAUACCCCAUAGCAUAUUUUUACAUAAGUAUUGAUAUUUAAAGUUGCGUUUGCAACACUUUUGGAUUGGGGUGCGACGUAUUAGAUUGUUGGUGAGGUAAUGGCUCACCAAGUCGAUGAUGCGUAGCUGUGCUGAGAGGCAGAACAGCCACAAUGGGACUGAGACACGGCCCAUACUUCUACGGAAGGCAGCAGUAGGGAAUUUUCCACAAUGGACGAAAGUCUGAUGGAGCAAUCCCGCGUGAAUGAUGAAGGUCCUACAAGAUUGUAAAGUUCUUUUAUUGGGGAAGAAAUGUAAGAAAAGGAAAUGUUUCUUAUUUGACGGUACCCUUUGAAUAAGUAUCGGCUAACUAUGUGCCAGCAGCCGCGGUAAUACAUAGGAUGCAAGCGUUAUCCGGAUUUACUGGGCGUAAAGCGAGCGCAGGCGGAUUUACAAGUCUGAUGUUAAAGACAACUGCUUAACGGUUGUUUGCAUUGGAAACUGUAAGUCUAGAGUAUAGUAGAGAGUUUUGGAACUCCAUGUGGAGCGGUGGAAUGCGUAGAUAUAUGGAAGAACACCAGAGGCGAAGGCGAAAACUUAGGCUAUAACUGACGCUUAGGCUCGAAAGUGUGGGGAGCAAAUAGGAUUAGAUACCCUAGUAGUCCACACCGUAAACGAUGGUAAUUAAAUGUCGGCACGGCAAUGUGUCGGUAUUACAGCUAACGCAUUAAAUUACCCGCCUGGGUAGUACAUUCGCAAGAAUGAAACUCAAACGGAAUUGACGGGGACCCGCACAAGUGGUGGAGCAUGUUGUUUAAUUCGACAAUACACGUAGAACCUUACCUAGGUUUGACAUCUCUGGCAAAGCUAUAGAAAUAUAGUGGAGGUUAACCGGAUGACAGGUGGUGCAUGGUUGUCGUCAGCUCGUGUCGUGAGAUGUUGGGUUAAGUCCCGCAACGAGCGCAACCCUUAUUAUUAGUUACUUUAUCUAAUGAGACUGCCAGCGUAAGCUGGAGGAAGGUGGGGAUGACGUCAAAUCAUCAUGCCCCUUAUAUCUAGGGCUACAAACGUGCUACAAUGGCAAGUACAAACUGUUGCGAACCAGUAAUGGGGAGCUAAUCAUAAAAAGCUUGUCUCAGUUCGGACUGAGGGCUGCAAUUCGCCCUCAUGAAGUUGGAAUCACUAGUAAUCGCGAAUCAGACAUGUCGCGGUGAAUACGUUCCCGGGUCUUGUACACACCGCCCGUCAAACUACGAGAGCUGGUAAUGCCUAAAACCGUUAAGAUAACCUUCGGGAGUCUUGCGUCUAGGGUAGGACUGGUGAUUGGAGUUAAGUCGUAACAAGGUACCCCUACGGGAAUGUGGGGGUGGAUCACCUCCUU
rnacentral:rRNA from 1 species